AUGGGCUCAAAGAAUCCGCCAAACCUACUUUCUCAAUCCACGUCCAAUUUAGUUCAUCCGGUACAUAGAAUUCCUUUUUCUUAAAUGUUUCAAGCCUCUUUUUCCAUCUAGUCAAAUUAGCCUUGGAUCUAAUUUUUGGAAAGUUGAACCAAGGGAAGUCCCCUUGGUCUCUUCUAGAGCUCUGACCCCUGCUUUUGAACAUUUCCUACAAACCUAACACAAGGAAAAUAAACAUACAAACGACAGAACUUGUUAAAAGAAUAAAUAUCUAGAAACUGAAACAUGGACUCGUCGAGUUCAUGAACGGACUUGUCGAGUCCAUGAACAGAUCGUAGGCAUACUUCUUAUUCGAACCCAGAUCUGCCAUGUAAAUCCAAAAUUUGUUCUAGGGGUUUGUUCAGGGUGAAAAUCCAAAUACUAAUUUACAAACAAUUUCAGUCCAAACACUCUAAUUUAACCAAAAUCAAAACCCUAAAAUUUAUAUCAAAACCAAAAACCAAUUGUUUAACAAAUUCCAACUUCUAAACUAUAAAGAUCAAAACUUUAACAAGAUUAUGCACAAAAAAUGUUUCCUUUUGAGCAAAUUGGAAGAGAAAAUCACGAAAAUUGGAAAUCUUUGCUUGAGAGAACUCUUGAUCGAAUGGGGGAGGGUGACGGCUGUGAAAAGAAAUGAUUGUUUUACCCUCUGUGUUAUUUUAUACUGAAUGCAAUUUUUAUUUUUUAUAAAAUAAUUAAACCAAUUCCUUCAAUGGUUAAAAUAUAUAUAUAUAUAUAUAUAUAUAUAUAUAUAUAUAUAAACAUCAUACAAAUUCAAAAUUAAAUAUACAAAUUUAUACAAAAAUUUAAAUAGAAACAUUUUGGGUGACAUUGUUAUUACUAAAUAGAUUUUUUUAAAUACAAUACUCUAAUUGGAAGUGGUGAUAAUAUGAUGCUAUAAUAGAUAAAUUAAUAAAAGUACAUUGCUAUUUUCUCAUUUACACAUCACCACAAGUAUAAUAACCUUGUCUAAUAAUUACGUGUGUUUCCAAAUCACUAAGGAAGCUCAUUGAAAACAUCCCUAUACAACCCAUAAAUCAUUGCAGCCAUGUGACGUUCAUUCAACAAAAUGGAGGUAUUUUCUUGCCUUCACAAAGUUUAUUUCUUCCCUGUAACGGGAAAAAUAUUCAUUCACCAAAAACUAAAAACAAGGCACCAAAAGUUAAAUUCAACACUAAACGCAUGAGAAAAUUCCACAAAAUUAAACAAUAAGCAUAAGAACAUCUCAUGUCAUAUGCAAAUUUGUAACCAAACAUCAUUACAAUGGACUAUUUAUUGAGAGUUAUAUUACCAUAAACCAAUUGUUCAUUAAAUUUCUUGCAACUAUGAAGUAAUUUUGUAUUCUUUGAUCAAAAACUUUAACUUGCAGCUAUAAUGGAAUCAAGCUUCUAGCAAGCAUGUGCAUAAGAAUAGAGUAGAACAAACAAGGAAUCACAAUGGUGAUGUCGCUGUUGAGCUACAUUAUAGUGAUAUUAGUCAAAAGGGGAGCCUGUCAUCAUUUGUAAUGUUCUUGAAACCAUCGAUUCAAAACAUCACAGAAAACCCAAAAUAUGAACAUUUAAAAACUUUGAUUAUUAAAUCGAUUUUAGAUUUCACAUCAGGAGAACAAUUCGAUUUCAAGAAUGUGGAGUGAUUUUAGAAACUUUAUACCUGACCAAUGAAGAGGAUCAGAGAUCGCCUAGUGGAGACCAACGUUGUCGAGGGCGAAACCAGCGCUGGAGAGGGCGGCGCUUUUGAGUGUGGCACCAGCGAUGUCAGAGCUUGGCGGAGACCGAUUUCGGUUUUUGAUUUUCAACUUUAGGGCAUAGAAAAUGUUGGGAAGGCUGCUGAGACGAAACAAACGGGGAGAGGAGGCUGCUGGGACGUUGACGAUCGGUUGGGCGGUGGCGUCGGCGACGGGAACCAGGCGAAGGGAAGCAGACGCGAACCGGGGAAGAAAACACAGGAGGAAAACACUAGAAUAGGAGAAGAGGAUUCGGGUUAUGUUCGACCGUGUGGUUCAGGGCAAAACAAGAUGUACAUUUUUUUUUAAUUCAGACUUUGUUCCCUAUCUGAAAAAUUAAGAGGUCUUUUUGAUUUGAAGAGGUAAAAAUUAAG
rnacentral:lncRNA from 1 species